rnacentral:rRNA from 1 species
UACGUAGGGGGCUAGCGUUGUCCGGAAUCAUUGGGCGUAAAGCGCGCGUAGGCGGCCAGAUAAGUCCGGUGUGAAAGUCAAAGGCUCAACCUUUGAAUGCCGCUGGAAACUGUCUGGCUUGAGUCCGGAAGGGGCGAGUGGAAUUCCUGGUGUAGCGGUGAAAUGCGUAGAUAUCUGGAGGAACACCGGUGGCGAAGGCGGCAUCCUGGACCGGCAUUGACGCUGAGGCGCGAAAGCUAGGGGAGCAAACGGG